ACCAUUGAAGCAGGAAACCGCGGCGACUCUCGGCGGAGACUGGCCAGUUUUCUCUUUUUCAUGCAGAAUCCUUGCUUAGAGAAAUUGAUUUAUAUCCGCAGCAAGGGUAAUAAAAAAUGCUUUCUUUCCUUCUCAGCCCACAGUUUUAGAAGAAAGCCGAAGAGUGUGGUCUACGGAGCAUGCUGCGCUUGCCAGGGGUGUGGACGCAGAGUUCAAGCACAGACAAAGGGCAGGCAGUGAUUUCAUACUUCUGAUAGAUUUUUUUAUUCAUGAGAGAGAGAGAGCAGAGACACAGGCAGAGGGAGAAGCAGGCUCCCCACAGGGAGCCCGAUGUGGGACUCAAUCCUGGACCCUAGGAUCCUGCCCUGAGCCAAAGGCAGGCACUCAACCACUGAGCCACCCAGGCGUCCCUAACUCAAAACUUUAGGAAGCUAACUGGCUAAAGGAAACAUGAAGACAGAAUCCUCUCCUUGAAUGUGAGGACAGAAGCCAGCAAGACAGAACACCCAACUAUAGGCCGAGAGGACUUAACUGCCAUGACCCAAAGCCAGUCUUGCAAUACCUUACUCAAAUCCAUGGCAGUGCUGGAGAUGGCAGCAAGUGCUGGAGAUGACUGCUGGUCACUUUGAAUCCCACUCCUGAUACCAUGUAAUAUUGAAAGGCAGAACUGCAAUCUGUAAAAUAAAAUUUGUACAUUUAUUGGGGGUCUUAGGGUUUGCAAUCUGGGAGACAUAGAGUCACUAAUAUCAGGUGUGCUCUGGAGAGACAAAGGGCAUUUACAUAAGUUGUUUUGAAUGAAAUGUGAUUGGUUGCUAGUAGUGCCAGGUGGAAAGUCCAUUUAUGUUAAAUUCUUCUUAAAAAGAUUUUAUUUAUUCAUUUAUUUUAUAGAGUGUGUGUACACCUGUGUGUAGGGAUGGGGGUGGAGUUAGAGGAAGAGAGAUUUUUUUUUAAAGAUUUUAUUUAUUUAUUCAGAGAGAGAGAGAGAGAAAAAGAGAGAGAGAAUGGCAUAAUAGUACCUAUCUGAAAGGGCAAGGCUGAGGAUGAAGAGCAUCUAGUCCCGUUCCUGGCAUCUAGUAAACUCUAUAUAAAUGGCAACUUCCAUGGUUACUCACACUGGGGUAUCCAUGAACAGAAUAUCUUUUUUUUCCCAAAGAUUUUAUUUAUUUAUUCAUGAGAGAGACAGAGAGAGAGGCAGAGACACAGGCAGAGGGAGAAGCAGGCUCCAUGCAGCCUGACG